rnacentral:rRNA from 1 species
UACGUAGGGGGCAAGCGUUGUUCGGAAUUACUGGGCGUAAAGGGCGCGUAGGCGGCCUUCUAAGUCAGACGUGAAAUCCCCCGGCUUAACCUGGGAACUGCGUCUGAUACUGGGAGGCUUGAGUAUGGGAGAGGGAUGUAGAAUUCCAGGUGUAGCGGUGAAAUGCGUAGAUAUCUGGAGGAACACCGGUGGCGAAGGCGGCAUCCUGGACCAACACUGACGCUGAGGAGCGAAAGCCAGGGGAGCAAACGGG